GAUCCAGGGAAGCCCUCCUUUCCUGAGACAAAGGACCUGCUCCCGUAAAGAGACAGCGUGAAGGCGGAGGCAGCGCCAGGCGGGGAAGCCGGGCUCCGGGACACGGGUCCAGCUCUCAGCCCUAAGAGCCGCACCCGUCAACCCGUCAAGCCCGGGAAGAGAUAGCCAGGGUCUGAUGUGCUAUGCCUUCAGCAUCUCCCCUGGAAUUAUGGAUGAGGAAGAGACGGAAGUGUGACACAUUCAGGGGACAGUUGCCCUCCGUGCUCCCAAUGGCAAUGCAAUGGUUUAAAGACCGACUCGGUGUUCCCCACCCCACUCCCACUUAAAAGGUUACAAUACAAGCAGAGAGCUGACUCCCCCACCUUCCCUCUGUGUGUGCGUCUAUUCCCAGCACUCGACACCACCGACUGACUCCCAUCAGAGUCUAAGGCCAUUCUUUCUAACCCGCGAGGCCGGCUGAUGGUCAAGUGAAGGACGAUGUGACAACACAACGUUCUUGGACUGGAAGAUCUCGGAGGGCCCUGAGAACUCUAAGACUCACCCUCCCCUGGCCGUUCAGUUCACACAGCCCCAAGGAGGAGAUCUGGGCAAGCAUGGGACCAAGAUUCCAAGUCUAGCCCAGCACAAUGGGUUACUCUCAAGACUCCCCAAGGGGAGACCUGGACCCAGGCUGUCCGGACAAUGGACCGUACCUCCAGGGACGAGUCAAGGUCAGAGGAGUCCACACAGAGGUCCACCCUCAAGGGAGUCUGAGGAAUGGUGAAGAAUCCGGAGAUGGAAUCCAGGAAACCAUAGGGAAUUCUAGAGAGUGUGUCCCAAGGAUAUAAAUUCUCUCUUCGGUCAAGAAGCACGAGGAAGCCAGCAGCAUUUAAUGAACAGACAGGCAGCGGGCCAUCAGUUCCCACCAGCUCUUUCUGGGAAUUUGGAGGGAGACGUUCUCUCUGCUUCGCCCCAAUUUCCCAAAGAUUGCGGUCUCCAGGCUUCUUCCCUUUCCCCCGCUGCCCGGAUCUCUGCCGCCUCCUAAAUCUUCGGUCUACGGUACCCGUUCUUCUGGGUCUCCUUCCAGCCCGUCCAUACGGUGCCAGAUUCCUGUCCAGAAUGACCUGCUGGUCCUUCUCUCCACCAUGACCACCUCCAGAAGUCCAAGGAGCUCCAUGCCGUCCCACACACCUGCGUCUGCUUUACCUGCCUGGGACUCCGUGCUCCGUGUGCUACUGGCUUUAAAACUGGGGGCCCCGAUUGGGCCUGUUGAUCGCCCGGCACUGAGUGGCCACAGGGACGGGCUGGCAACCAGGUUCCUUAAUCUUCAGUUACCACAGUGACGUGGUCCCUAAGAGGGCAGAUGUUCUAGGCCAGAGGCCAAAGAGUCGGAAGACGGCCCCUUAAAGCAUCAAUGGCUCUGGUCACAGGCCCAGGGGCGGGAGAACAUCAGUCAUGCCCACUGUUAGGAGUAAAGGGGCUUUCUUGGUCUCUGGCCUCUACCACAGCUCCUCUCCCCGUCCAGCCAGGAAGCAGCCUUGAGGGGAACAUCAAGUUCACCUUGUAGAGCAGAGCGACUCCACAGCAGCAAGAGAAGAAAGGUGUUCUGCCCCCACACGUCAGUUUAUACCAAACGGGUGACCGUGAGCGUUUCAAUCCCAGGGACCAAACCCGCCCUCGCACAGGGGCCUCUGUCUGAGAAAUCAGGAGGGUCUGCAGCUUGUCUUUACCCAGCAGCCGGUCACUGCCCACCUGCCACGCAGGACUGGCCCUUCUCAGAGCUGCCCCACACCGAAGACGGGGUGCAGGGGAAGCAUUUUGACUUUGAGUAACCCCGUCGGUUGCCCUCAGGCUCCUCCCAAAGGAAAUAGUUGGAUUCUCACGGUCCUCCCUCCUGCUGUCUGUCAAGAGUCUAAGAAACAGUAUUAGCAGGAGGCAUAAUGAUGAUAAAAGAAUUUUUUUUAAUUAUUUAUCCCAUUUUAUCAUCAGCACUCUCUUAGAUUGUGGAAAGAGUGGCGACCGUGAUCUUCCUUUUACAAAAGAAAAACCUUGAUCGAGGACAGGCCGUGGCUGGCCCAAAGUCAUCAGCCGGGACGUAGCGGGGGCUGGGCUCUGCCACAGGCAGGCAGGUGUCCCCGGAUGGUACCUGCUGAGAGACAGGGCACCCACGACACCGGUCUCGGACCUUCCCCGCAAGUUUCUUCCCUACCCUUACGAUGGAGGGGAGGUGCCCCAGGGACAGGACAACAGGGAGGAUGGGUGGGGGAAGGGCAGCACCCUAGAUGGAGGGCAGCACCUAGUGAGGGUGAGCGAGCCCCCCAGCCCGUGGUCUGCCCCCAGUGGCUCAUUCUCUCUCGAGUCACCAAAGGUCAAAGCAGAGGAAACCAACAUCUAGAUAAAUGAGAUGCUUUGCCCAAGGACAGCCAGCUGGUCUUCCACAGCGCUGCACCCAGCCCCAGGCUUGCUGACCUCUACUUCAGGGUUCUCCUUUUGCCACCAUGGGGUCACCCCAACGGGGGUUUCUAUACAGGGUGUGGGGAAGGGGACGGUAUGUUUAGCCUUCAGUCGUCCCCGGAAACGGGACAACCAAAAGGAUCAAGGAGCCUCGUCCUGGAAUCACUGAGUGCUAAAAAUGGAAAAAGACUUUUAAAUAAUUAAGUUUCAUUUUUGACCUUAUGUAUUAGCUGAAUUUUUACCACGCGAUCUUAUUACUUUUAUAAAUUAAAAAAAAAAACUGGUUUGGAGAUUAAAUUGAUAAUGCUAAGUGGG